ACGAACGCUGGCGGCGUGCCUCAUCCAUGCAAGUCGUGCGGACCUUGUUGAAAGCUUGCUUUUAAAAGGUUAGCGGCGGACGGGUGAGUAACACGUGGGCAACCUGCCUGUAAGACUGGGAUAACGCCGGGAAACCGGGGCUAAUACCAGAUCGUUUUUUCCUCCGCAUGGAGGAAAAAGGAAGGGCGGCUUCGGCUGCCACUUACAGAUGGGCCCGCGGCGCAUUAGCUAGUUGGCGGGGUAAUGGCCCACCAAGGCAACGAUGCGUAGCCGACCUGAGAGGGUGAUCGGCCACAUUGGGACUGAGACACGGCCCAAACUCCUACGGGAGGCAGCAGUAGGGAAUCUUCCGCAAUGGACGAAAGUCUGACGGAGCAACGCCGCGUGAGUGAAGAAGGCCUUCGGGUCGUAAAACUCUGUUGCCGGGGAAGAACAAGUGCCGUUCGAACAGGGCGGCGCCUUGACGGUACCCGGCCAGAAAGCCACGGCUAACUACGUG
rnacentral:rRNA from 1 species